rnacentral:rRNA from 1 species
UACGGGGGGGGCAAGCGUUGUUCGGAAUUACUGGGCGUAAAGGGCUCGUAGGCGGCCAACUAAGUCGGACGUGAAAUCCCCAGGCUCAACCUGGGAACUGCGUCCGAUACUGGAUGGCUUGAAUCCGGGAGAGGGAUGCAGAAUUCCAGGUGUAGCGGUGAAAUGCGUAGAUAUCUGGAGGAAUACCGGUGGCGAAGGCGGCAUCCUGGACCGGCAUUGACGCUGAGGCACGAAGGCCAGGGGAGCAAACGGG